UCGAAAAAGGAAAUUAGAUUGUCAGGUGUAUAGAUUUCCAGUCUGCAUAUCAUUUACAUACAGUCUUGCAAAACUUCAGUAGUGUCCCUGGGGUCAAAAUUAAUCCUGUCUUACAGUAAUGUUGUAAAAAGUUCUAUUUAAAGUUUAAUGUAUAUAUGUAUUGUAAUAAAUAUAUCAACACCUACAUUAUAUAUUUUUUUAAAUUUUCAUCUUUGUUACUUACUUUACAUUAUAGUUAAUGCUAUAUUUGAAAAUUGUUAUUUUUUAUCUUCUUUGUGACUAUAAAUGGAACUGUGUUUGUGCAUAUAUAGGACAGUCUGUGGGUAGUGGUGUCAUUGUAUAAAUCCUGUGUCAACAGUUGCACAGUAGUUAUUCACAGUGUGACAGUUGACAGUGGAGUGGAGUGUUUUGUCAGGGUACUUGUUUUACAAACAAGAUCCAGACAGUACAGUAUUAUAUGGUAUUGUACAGUGGUAUACAGACCUGUUAAUAAAUAUUUGUAUGUCUUUGAGUGGACCCACUGGUUAAUAAAGCAGAAAUAUAUGUGAACCAA